rnacentral:rRNA from 1 species
UGCCAGCCGCCGCGGUAAUACGGAGGGUGCAAGCGUUGUUCGGAAUUAUUGGGCGUAAAGCGCGUGUAGGCGGUUCGUUAAGUCUGAUGUGAAAGCCCUGGGCUUAACCUGGGAACUGCAUACGAUACUGCUAGGCUAGAGUGUGAUAGAGGGAAGUGGAAUUUCAGGUGUAGCGGUGAAAUGCGUAGAUAUCUGAAGGAACAUCAGUGGCGAAGGCGGCUUCCUGGAUCAACACUGACGCUGAGGUGCGAAAGCGUGGGUAGCAAACAGGAUUAGAUA